rnacentral:lncRNA from 1 species
AGAUAUUUUCUAAACCAGCGAGUCUUUCUCCGCCUAUUGCCAGCAGGUAACUGUUAUACCACUAGCUUGAAGGAAUCGACGGUCAAGACCGAUCCUUAUCAUAAUGGAGGGAUCCUCAUCAUGAUGAUUGAUUAAUAGCAGGUGGUAAAGUCUAUAAUAGUAAUCAUCACGCAUUUAGAUUUUCGGGAACCACUUCCAACUGACAGAAGGUAAGUGUUUGGGCCCCACCAUGGAGUUUUUUUUUUUUAGUACAGACAUGCUCACAU